rnacentral:lncRNA from 1 species
ACACUUGCGAAUAUUUAAUUUUGCUUAUUUAAUUUUGCUUAUUUAUAAUUUUGCAGCUAUUAAUAUUUUCUUAUUUCUAAUUUUGAAGGUGUUCUUGUUGCCGGGACAUCCCGUUCCGCCAGUAGCGACCAACUGGCGAAAAUAUCAUCUUCCUUGUGCUACCGGAUGGAAAAAUUCAUAUGAAGCCCGGAUUCAACAGUUCAAAGAGAGCAUCUCACCUAAUGUUAUAAUUAGCGAGACAGUAGAGUUAGAUUGAUUGUUUAGUUGUAAAUUUUUUUUGGCUCUUAGGAAAGUUGUAAAUUUUUUUGGGCUCUUAGAGUCAUGUACUGUGAAACUCCAUCAUCAAUAUAAAUCAAAAAAUAUCUGUCUUCGCAUUGUUAGAUUGAUUGUUAUGUGCACUGUUAUAUUUGUGUAAAAUAGAACGGGCCAGGCUUUACAAAGAUUACACGUAAAUGUACCAAAAAUAUAUAUUUUUCAUUAAUAUCAACAGUUUCAAAUUACACAAAAAAAAGUCGAAGCUACAUAAUCAAAAUAAAGGCUCCAUCAUCAAUUCCUAUGACGCCGUCGUCGACGCGUGUACUGUUGUACGUCCGAAUGAGAGGGUGCUGGAUCCGAAUGAGAGGGUGCUGUACUCGGGCCAGGCUCAUCACCCAGAAGUAACUGAUGCAUCUGACAAAUAGCAUGAAAUAGGUGCCCGGCACCUAGUGACGUAGCCUCUGAGGGACCCAUCCAUACAAUGUCGGUACUGAUACCGAGUGCAUCUGCAAUAU